rnacentral:rRNA from 1 species
ACGCUCGACACCUACGGGGGGCAGCAGUGGGGAAUAUUGGGCAAUGGGGGAAACCCUGACCCAGCAACGCCGCGUGGAGGAAGAAGGUCUUCGGAUUGUAAACUCCUGUCCUUAGGGAAGAAACAAAUGACGGUACCUGAGGAGGAAGCUCCGGCUAACUACGUGCUAGCAGCCGCGGUAAUCUGAGCGGGCUGGCAAGGC